rnacentral:rRNA from 1 species
AGCGAACGCUGGCGGCAGGCCUAACACAUGCAAGUCGAACGAUCCUUCGGGAUAGUGGCGGACGGGUGAGUAACACGUGGGAACGUGCCCUUUGGUUCGGAACAACUCAGGGAAACUUGAGCUAAUACCGAAUGUGCCCUUCGGGGGAAAGAUUUAUCGCCAUUGGAGCGGCCCGCGUCUGAUUAGCUAGUUGGUGAGGUAAUGGCUCACCAAGGCGACGAUCAGUAGCUGGUCUGAGAGGAUGAUCAGCCACACUGGGACUGAGACACGGCCCAGACUCCUACGGGAGGCAGCAGUGGGGAAUCUUGCGCAAUGGGCGAAAGCCUGACGCAGCCAUGCCGCGUGAAUGAUGAAGGUCUUAGGAUUGUAAAAUUCUUUCACCGGGGACGAUAAUGACGGUACCCGGAGAAGAAGCCCCGGCUAACUUCGUGCCAGCCGCCGCGGUAAGAC